CUUAUCAUCUCCUUCCUCUUUCACUCUGGAUUCCGUCACACCGUUCGAACUCGAGCUCGCUGGAAAACCGCCGCACUUCUGGCACUGACUUACCACCAGAAUCUGACGGCAGGAAGGACAGGAUGAGUGAGAUCGAAACCACGUAUCGAUGCAGGACAUGUGAAAUCCAUGGCCACACUGCGGCAGCACCCGGAUUUCAUCUCCGACAGCGAACUCCGCGAGGCAGAUCGCGCAAUCUGAGAACUGAG
rnacentral:misc_RNA from 1 species